GACGAACGCUGGCGGCGUGCUUAACACAUGCAAGUCGAACGGAAAGGCCCUGCUUUUGUGGGGUGCUCGAGUGGCGAACGGGUGAGUAACACGUGAGUAACCUGCCCUUGACUUUGGGAUAACUUCAGGAAACUGGGGCUAAUACCGGAUAGGAGCUCCUGCUGCAUAGUGGGGGUUGGAAAGUUUCGGCGGUUGGGGAUGGACUCGCGGCUUAUCAGCUUGUUGGUGGGGUAGUGGCUUACCAAGGCUUUGACGGGUAGCCGGCCUGAGAGGGUGACCGGCCACAUUGGGACUGAGAUACGGCCCAGACUCCUACGGGAGGCAGCAGUGGGGAAUAUUGCACAAUGGGCGGAAGCCUGAUGCAGCAACGCCGCGUGCGGGAUGGCGGCCUUCGGGUUGUAAACCGCUUUCGCCUGUGACGAAGCGUGAGUGACGGUAAUGGGUAAAGAAGCACCGGCUAACUACGUG
rnacentral:rRNA from 1 species